rnacentral:miRNA from 1 species
GACAUCGUUAUUCGACGUCAUAAACACGAAGAAGUUUGGUGUUUAUGACGUCGAUAUUCGACGUCAUAAACACGAACAAGUUUGGUGUUAUGACGUCGAUAUUCGACGUCAUAAACAUGAUCAACUUUGGUGUUUAUGACGUCGAUAUUCGACGUCAUAAACACGAACAAGUUUGGUGUUUAUGCCGUCGUUAUUCCACGUCAUAAACACGAUCAACUUUGGUGUUUAUGACAUCGAUAUUCGACGUCAUAACCACGAACAAGUUUGGUGUUUAUGAAGUCGGUGUUCGACGUCAUAAACACGAUCAACUUUGGUGUUUAUGACGUCGAUAGUCGACGUC